AGCUUGACUCUAGUUUGACAUUGUGAAAAGACAUAGGGGGUGUAGAAUAGGUGGGAGCUUCGGCGCCGGUGAAAUACCACUACCCUUAUGUCCACGUGACGGAGAAAGGGGUUCGACCACUGAUUGUGACAACGAAGCAGCAGACUACUGGGCCAAAAUGGAAAUAGGGCGGCUAGUGCAAGCCCAUGAUUUCCGACGCCUGAUGUCAGCACAAAGCGCAGAGUGUCAGAAAAAUU
rnacentral:ncRNA from 1 species